GUCGUGUUAGUGGUGGGGGCCUCAUGGUGUUUCUCAUUGCAUAGACAUUAUAGAUCAUAUGCCCAUUUCACUUUUUUUUUUUUUUUUUAUAAAAAAACUCUGCUUUGGAGCUGGAGGUAGAGAAAAAAGCUUCGCUUUUGGAGUGAAAAAUACCGCUUGGGUUUUGGUUACUGGAAGUUUUGGGCUUCUCUUAAUUGGGAGGUGAAAAUUUGUACAUGAGGUGUUCGUAGAAAGGACGUCUAGUUCUGGUGGUGGUGGGGACGAUGGUGCUGAUUCAAAGGAGAUAUUAUAUAUAUAUAUAUAUAGAUAGAUAGAGAGAGAGAGGGGGAACAUUCUGAGGUUUGGCUUUAUCUAUUUGUAGCUGUGGUGGCUGUCAAAAGAUGAGGAACAGCUCAUAUUUUUGAUGGGUUGGUCUUUUGGUUUUUUGGGUUGUUUUUGUGCUUUGUGGGGUUUCUUGGAUUUUGGGUUUAUUCGAUCCACUGUAGAGAUAGUGCUCAUGCACUGAACGAUAUCAAUAACAUUGUGUUGCUUUGUGUCCAUUGGAUAUGGAUAUUUGAUUCUUCGUACUCUGCAAAGUGAUAGCAAAGGAGGAGUUGCUUUGGGGCAUAUCCUGCAAGAGAUGAUAUUUGCUAACAUGUAUUAGAGUUCCCCUCACCUUUAUCUUGAGGCGUUUUAGCUUCGACGGAGCAAGCGUGAAAGAAGAUUUUGUAAAAAGGGUUACGUGGAUUCAGAAUUUUGGCUUUUGAGUCUUAGCGGACUGGAAACAAAGUCUUCUUGGUAGUGUGUGUAAAGUCCAUUGGAAAAAGAAAACAAGGAAACAGAGAAUACAUAAAGAAAUAGGUGCAGGGCGGUGGUGUCAGUUUUGAGCAAGUGGGUGUGUCUUUGGUUUUGAGAAUUAUUUUUGUUUGAGGAGAGAGAAUGCAAGAACAUUGUCUCCUUAACUCAGUCUUUUUGCCCGGAGUUCUUGGUUUCUGUUACUAAGUGAGGAAGCAGAAAUUGUUAAAAAUCACAUUACCUCCAUUUACUUCCUAUCCCUUAUUUUUCUUUUGGCAUCGGCUUGUGAGAAAGAUUCGGUCGUACUAAGAAAAUCAUCUAAUCUUUCCUUCAAUCCAUAUUUUAAUUGCAUCAAUUACCGCUACACCAGAAUAUCGGUAACUUUCAGGAAUUAGAUUUCAUUUUGUGGAGAUCUAAUCGAGAAAUCUGCUGGUAUUUUAGUUUUUGUGGUGGUAAGUUUUGUGGAGUUGAUUUGAUUUAAGAGUGAAAUUUUGCGGGGAAGAAAAUUCAGGAAGUGAUCAUUCUUUUGGCAAUAUGAAGUUUAUGAAGCUUGGAUCCAAACCUGAUUCAUUUCAGUCUGAUGGGGAACAUAUUAGGUAUGUAGCAACUGAGUUGGCAACCGAUGUAGUUGUAAAUGUUGGGGAUGUGAAAUUCUAUCUGCAUAAGUUCCCUCUAUUGUCCAAGAGUGCACGUCUUCAGAAGCUUGCGGCCACUAAUGAUGACAAU